rnacentral:rRNA from 1 species
AGCAGCCGCGGUAAUUCCAGCUCCAAUAGCGUAUAUUAAAGUUGUUGCAGUUAAAAAGCUCGUAGUUGAAUUUCGGGAUUGACGUGAUGAUCAUGCCUUAAGGGGUAUGAACUGUUGCUGUUGAUUUCUCACCUUCUGGAGAAACUUGAUGUCCUUUAUUUGGGUGUCUUGCGGAUCCAGGACCUUUACCUUGAAAAAAUUAGAGUGUUUAAAGCAGGCAUUUUUGCUCGAAUACGUUAGCAUGGAAUAAUAGAAUAGGACGGCAUGGUUCUAUUUUGUUGGUUUCUAGGAUCACCGUAAUGAUUAAUAGGGAUAGUUGGGGGCAUUAGUAUUCAAUUGUCAGAGGUGAAAUUCUUGGAUUUAUUGAAGACUAACUACUGCGAAAGCAUUUGCCAAGGAUGUUUUCAUUAAUCAAGAACGAAAGUUAGGGGAUCGAAGACGAUCAGAUACCGUCGUAGUCUUAACCAUAAACUAUGCCGACUAGGAAUCAGACGAUGUUAAUUUUUAAUGUACUCGUUU